GAAGCUGCUUCGCCCAUCACGCACGCGUGACAGUCAUGCCACGGCUCCCUUGGCCCGCCCCUGCUCAGCUUGGCUCCCGACACACUUGUCUGGUAGGGGUGGGCGCAACAGAUCAAGAUACUCGAAUUUUUAGGGUAUCCUUUCUCGGCCUUGCCACCACGGAUCAUAUUAUCGAAUUAUCUCAGUCUCAAGUUUUGCUGACUUUGGUACCCGAAAGCUGAUGGUCGGAACCGUAGGUCCCUGCGAAAACAGUUUAUCGGGAACUCGGGAAUCGACGGUGAUUGUCUUCUGGUGGUGAGCGAAUGCGGUGGGAAGCUUGUUGUGAGAUCUCGGACACAAUCUGCAGA